AAGCUUUUCUCCAAAAGAGUCACUGUUUUAAUGGAUGUGUGGUCAAAUAAAUAACCUCAAUGCAAACUAUUGUAUAUUAGGCCUUUUUUUCUGAGAAAAAAAUAAUCAACACUGCAGUUGUAUUUGACUUGCAAGAUGCACGCAUGAGAUCCACACAGGCAGUUUAAUUGUCUAAAUUCCUCAUUUCUAACAGUCAGGUGACACAAUGGGAAUGUAAGGGCGCACAGGCAGUGUGAACUUAUCACUUGAACAGCACUGACAGCCCCUUGAGCAGUACACAGUUAGGGGGUUGGAAAAAAAAAAAACUACAAGAGCCUGGCGUCUCACCUUCCUCCUUCGCACUUACUGGUCUGGUUUAAACAGUAAACUAGAUAUUCUAUCAUCAAAGAGUCUAUGUUCAGUUCAACAUUUAUAGCCUUAUGUGACUAUUAACUCUUUUUCUUUUUUAUUUCUUCUAUUGGGUAAAGAUUUUUUACUUCACAUACUAAGUAGCUUUUUGGAAUUAUUACUCGUGGCGCUUCUGAGUUUUGUGAGAUUAAUACACCUCAUGCCAAAAAACGUUCAAUUAUAUAUAUAUAUAUAUAUAUAUAUACAGUUUAGCAUUAAAUACAAAAGGGGUUUAUACAAAUACACACUUUGUGUGUUAGAAGACCAUUAACCCCUGUUGUGACAGUAAAUUCUAACGCAACAGGCUCUCAGCUUGCAACUGUUUGCUCGGCUGUUGGACAGGACAAGUAAAAAUAAAUAAAUAAAAAUUAAAAAUAACUUUUGAUUGAAAUGAUGAUCCAGUCAGCAAAAUGUGCCAUAGUACCUACCUUUCUUUUUUGUGUCUUUUUUUUAACUGUGAAACCCCAAUGAGACGAUUCAUUCUUUUUUCUAUCUUUUGGAUAAAGGUGUUUUUUUUUUUUUUUUUUUUUUAGUAUUGUCUGUGUUCAGUCAUGUGUUAACUGUGAUUAAAAAAAGAAAAAUAUGAGUUUAAUAGCAACAUAAUGUCAUACAUUAUGAAAAGAUGAUGGAAAAUCUUAAUUCUGAGUUUUAUUGUGGAUCAAAAAUAAAGUAAAAAAAGAAAAUGAUCUAAUAACAGGUUCAUUAAUAACAUGUCAGGUAAUUGGACUGGUCAUUGCAGUUUCCUUCUGUAUUAAAACUGGGAGUUGUCUUCAAAUUACUUCACCAAGUAGCGAUUGCAUGAGGCAUUUGUGAGUUUUCGUCUGUUUACCAAUGCCAAACUGAGCAGACAGACUCUACAAAUACCUUCUAAUUCCAAACAAAUCUUUGCAACAGCGUUUUUGCAUCAUUUGUUCAACACAUCCGGACACUAAUGUGAGAAAGGUGUAUUAUUGUUUGCCUAAUUAUGAGUUCUGGGCAUGACAACAGAAGAUUUUGUAAUGAUUGCAGUUUCCCAACUGCUCUGCUCUGGUAUAUAAGAGAGGUCUAACAGCCAGUUCAGCACUGCAGGAACUUCCAGAAUCUUCUCUGACUGUCUGUUGAAGCUGUGUGAUCAGUAAAUCAACCAUGCUGAAGGUAGCAAUUGUGCUGGGAUGUCUUCUGAGCCUCAUUGUGGCUGAACCUAUGGAGCAUCAGCGGUUUGCCCGCUCCAGCUCUGGUUCCAACUCAAAUGAGUCCUCCAACACUUCCAUAAACAACGUUCUGCUCCAGCUUCUCCUUGCUCUCCUGCAACAAACAACUGCAGCUACGACUACGACUACGGCAGCAACUACAACUGCUACCACUGUAGCAGCUACAACCAAAUAAAUGG